UUUCCGUAGGUGAACCUGCGGAAGGAUCAUUACAGAGUUCAUGCCCUCACGGGUAGAUCUCCCACCCUUGAAUAUUUAUACCUUAGUUGCUUUGGCAGGCCGUGGAAACACCAUGGGCUCCGGCUUAUGCGUGCCUGCCAGAGGAAACAAACUCUGUUUUUAGUGAUGUCUGAGUACUAUAUAAUAGCUAAAACUUUCAACAACGGAUCUCUUGGUUCUG
rnacentral:misc_RNA from 1 species